ensembl:rRNA 5S_rRNA 5S ribosomal RNA
GUCUAUGGCCAUACCACCCUGAACAUGCCUGAUCGCAUCUGAUCUCAUCUGAUCUCAGAAGCUACGCAAGGAUGGCCCUGGAUAGUACUUGGAAAGGAAACCUUGGGUAAGUUC